AAUAAUGGAACGGAGCAGCAUCUUUUUUGUUCUUUGGUACCAGCUGAAGUCACCUGAUUGGCCAAUAAAUUUGCAGUCUGCUACGAGAUCCAGAGAGCCCAGACCCCUGUCCAGUCUUCAUGGCAGCCAACCACAGCCAAUGACCAGUGGGUUCAUUACUAACCCAUUACCACCUACGAAGCCUGUUUCUCUUAGGCUGUCUCACAGGAGCAGCAUAAACAUGCUAUCGCUCUUCACUGGAGACCCUGGCAGAAGACUGAAAUCUCUUGUGAGCAGAUGACCUAGUCCCAUGAAUUCAGUGUCGGCUGCUGCCUCAUCCAGAGGGGACUCUCCAAGGCCUGAUGAGAGGGUCCGCAUUCUGACUCCUGUGCCUGACAGAAACCUAGGCGAAGGCUCAAGUGGCAGUGGCGAGGUUGCCUUUGGGCGGGACCAUUUUGCAGAGCAAUGAACCAUUUGCACAUUGCUGUCUUGCUGGGUGUGACACCAUGUUGUAAUGUGGCUGGUGGGUACCAGUCUCUUGAAUCCUCAUGGUGGAAACGGCUUCACCAUCCAUAACAGGAAUUUCUUUUCCAGCCACAUACACACAGCAGCAAAACAAGCAACAAGAAGAGGGCAUGGCGGUCACUGAAGCAGAUUGUUGCUCAGGAGAGGGCGUUGCAGUGGGGAGAAGAUUUUGUGCACUAAAAUUCAAACCAUCGAAUGUCGCUCCAAUUUAUUUGGAACCUCAUCAAGAGAAGACUAAUGUCAGAUAGCAGAAGGUAACAGCAUUUAGAAGAUUCUUGGAUCCCACAUUGCCAUCUGUGACCCAGAGAUCUUAAUUUGAGGAUAGGACAUUAUUUUAUGGCUUUACCAUCUUGCCUGUGCCAAUUCGUUAUAAGAAACUGUAAAGAACUGUUCUUCUUAAGAUGCCAAAACUUUGUGCUGAUUUCUGCUCUCCGUGAUGUGUGACAAUAAAAGGGGAGUGUACAUUGUGAA